UCCGGUCUUCUAUUGUCUGCAAGGUUGUGUCAUUGAGACCGCCUUUCUUGUUCCCUUGUUGGUGCAAUUCCUGGUUCCGGUGUGCAUAACUAGAUAAUCUUAUUGUUUAUGUCAGUUUUUCUCCUUGGUUUAAUGAAUUUGUAGCCAUGAGAUAAAUGCUUUAGCUUGACAGCACUUGACUUUUUGGUAAGUUCAUAGAGAUGCGCAUCAACUUCUUUCAGAUGUUCAUCAUAUAUAUUACUAUGUCAAAGGCUUUAUCAAAUGUAUGCAGCAAUAGAUGUGAUAAUCAGGAUUUAGAAGCUAUGGUAUGUAAGAUCACACAAUCUAGGAUAGUAUUCACCACCACCUGCAUAAAUGUUUUCGAUUUUUCCCUUUGUCUGGCCUAUCACAGUAUGCCAUAUGUUCCAAAUUCACUUUUCAACUAUAUUCUUUGUCAUUCAUAUCUUUUGGCAAGCUCUUCCUACUAGAGCUUUCAAUAUAAACCACCUGGCUUAUUCCUUAUAGUCCUAUCAAGCAUGCUUGUUAACUCUUCCCUCUUGUUAUUAGCUUAUUGAGGCUGCUAGAUUUUGUCAAAUGUCUUCCCCAAUCUCAUUGUUCUUAGCCUUUCAAGUCAACAUCACAAGUUUUAAAUAUUAGGUUAUAGUUUUGGGAAUACUCCUUUUCUUCAACUAGUUCGAAGUACCAACUUGUGCUGAUGUCCUUCAGGUUUGUGGAGGUUUCACAGGCUACACACUGUUUGAGUAGAACCAAUAUAUUGCAGGACCGAGUUUUGAUCAAAGUUAGAUGAAUAUCAUGUACUGUAAUUUUAAACAGAGUACAUCUGAGACUCUUUUCAUUUGUAGUUCCUUUUUCUUAAAGAGCGGUGUAACUGUGUCAAGGCAACUGUAGGCUUAGGAAAAUGAAGUGCAGCUACUGAACCACCAAUCAUCCCUGGCCCGCAUGAUUUUGCUGUCUCUAUCAUAUAUCCAUGGAGUGAAAUAUUUUGUUCUGUUCAUGAAUUGUAAUUGGCCCCUACGAAAGCACUGUUGGAUUGCUAUUCUAAUUGUGUAUUUUUUUGAAACUUUAAUAUGUGUUGUUAAAGUAUGUAGUAGAAAUGUAGGGUUGGGUGUUCAUUAAAAUGUAGGCUAUUUCCUUUCAUUAUAACCUGUUUAACUAUGCUUAUUUUUUGCAGGAAGGUGUUAACUGUUAAGCAAUAGCUCGAGUUACUAUUUUAAUCACUCUUUAUUGUGUUUUGUCGUAUU